rnacentral:lncRNA from 1 species
AAACAGUCAAACUGGGGCAUUACAAAUGUAAUGUAAAGAAAAAGAGAAGAGGAUGAAAAAAAAAACAAAAUCAAGAAAAAAAAAUCAAUCAAAAAAUCAGAAUUUUUUUUCAAAAGAAAGAAUAAAUAAAAGAAAAAUGAUACCCUCAAAUCCCUAGUUGACUGAUGCUGAAUGGAUUCAGAGUCGUUACGACCAACUGAAUUUGAUUGAAGAGAAGCGAUU